UACGUAGGGUCCGAGCGUUGUCCGGAAUUAUUGGGCGUAAAGAGCUCGUAGGCGGUUUGUCGCGUCUGCUGUGAAAUCCCGAGGCUCAACCUCGGGCCUGCAGUGGGUACGGGCAGACUGGAGUGCGGUAGGGGAGAAUGGAAUUCCUGGUGUAGCGGUGGAAUGCGCAGAUAUCAGGAAGAACACCCGUGGCUAAGGCGGCUCUCUAGUACGGUACUGACGCUGAGACGCGAAAGCGUGGGGAGCGAACAGG
rnacentral:rRNA from 1 species